AGUGAACGCUGGCGGCAGGCCUAAUACAUGCAAGUCGAACGGCAGCACAGCAGAGCUUGCUCUGUGGGUGGCGAGUGGGCGGACGGGUGAGGAAUACGUGGGAAUCUGCCCAGUCGUGGGGGAUAACGUAGGGAAACUUACGCUAAUACCGCAUGCGCCCUUCGGGGAAAGCCGGGGACCUUCGGGCCUGGCGCGAUUGGAUGAGCCCACGUCGGAUUAGCUAGUUGGCGGGGUAAAGGCCCACCAAGGCGACGAUCCGUAGCUGGUCUGAGAGGAUGAUCAGCCACACUGGAACUGAGACACGGUCCAGACUCCUACGGGAGGCAGCAGUAGGGAAUAUUGGACAAUGGGCGCAAGCCUGAUCCAGCCAUGCCGCGUGAGUGAAGAAGGCCCUCGGGUUGUAAAGCUCUUUUGUCCGGAAAGAAAAGCGCCGGGUUAAUACCCUGGUGUCCUGACGGUACCGGAAGAAUAAGCACCGGCUAACUUCGUGCCAGCAGCCGCGGUAAU
rnacentral:rRNA from 1 species